rnacentral:misc_RNA from 1 species
CAAAUCCAUCCACGUCUCAAUUCUUGAGACCACGUUGAACUGUUCCCUGGUGCGCGGGCCGCCUUCGGGCGCGCACGCGCACUGGGCUUGUUAAACUAGUCCUACAUCUGUUGCUCAAUUGUAUCUUUCUUGAUUGUAAUGAUCAAGGCAAACAAAGUA